rnacentral:lncRNA from 1 species
GCCAAACUUACACUUUAUUAGUACUCGGGCAAAAUCAAGUUAAAGUACAUAAGUGAAAAUUGAUAAGGAAAUACAACUUAAUAGAAUGAGAUAUUUUCACUCCUUUGACAAAUGACAAUGAUCCCAUUUGGAUACAAAUGCAUGAACAGGCUUGAAUAAAGUGAGCCUAAAGAAUCCAAAUUGGGUAAUAUGUUUUCAUGGCACCAAAAUGGCCCCCAUGUGCUGAUGAAUGGAAUGCUCUAAUAUUUUCUCCAUUUCAUCCUCCGACAAGCAUCUUAUUCGAUAUGUCCCUCUUUUAAAUAACAAUGGAUCUUCCGAGAAGUAGUGUUUCACAUAGACAAAUAACCUCUUCCAUUGUUGGUAGGAGAAGUCCGGUAGAACAAUAUCGCUUACUAAAUAAUUCACAUAAUUAGUAUAUCAUGGUGCCUCGGAAACUGGUAGAAGAUGGAGGAUUUGGAGAAAUUUCUCAUCUUGAAAGGACUUAUUUUAUCUCUUCAACUUUCAUCUUGAUGCGAACCUGGUUAGCAAGUUUGCUAUCGAACCCAUGGGAAUUGACAGCGGAUCCCAAGAACACCCAAAUACGACCAAGGGUUAGGAUUUAACUUCUGAACGAUGAAACAAACAAUCUAAGGUAUAUUAAACCAACAACCUCUUGAUUACAAAGUCUCGAAAUCUCACCUGAAUUGUGGACUUAAACCAAUAAAAUUAUGAACCAAAAAAUCCAACAAGAACGAUGCUUGAAAGACUCCUUGAUUACAUAAUCCAAAGGUCCAACCCGAUGUUUCUGAACGCCACAAGAAAUCACUUUCUUGAUAAGUUCGAUUUGCCCAUUGAAGAACAAGAUAAUUGAAGCGAAAAGCUUCUAGAGAAUUUUAUUCAAUAAAUCAAUUUAUA